AUCUGCCCAUGAUUUUUAAAUGGCUGCGGUAAUUUGACCGUACAAAGGUAGCAUAAUAAUUAGUCUUUUAAUUGAAGUCUGGUAUGAAUGAUUUGAUGAAAAAAUAACUUUCUUUAAUUUUUAUUAUUAAAAUUUGAUUUUUGAGUGAAAAAGCUUAAAUUUUUUUUUGGGACAAUAAGACCCUAUAGAGCUUUAUAAAUUUAUUUAUAAAUUUUUUUUGGAUUAUAAUAAUUUUUUGUUUAAAAAUUUAUUUGGUUGGGGUGACAAAUGAAAUUUUUUAUCUUUAAUUUUAUAAAUUCAUUUUUUUUUUGAUUUUUUUGAUCCAUAUUUUGUGAUUAUAAGAUAAAGUUACCUUAGGGAUAACAGCGUAAUUUAUUUGUAGAGUUCUUAUCGAUAAAUAAGUUUGCGACCUCGAUGUUGGAUUAAGAUUAGUUAGGGGUGAAGAUUUUCUUUAU
rnacentral:rRNA from 1 species